rnacentral:rRNA from 1 species
CCACGGGUCGCUCCAGUGGGGAAUAUUGCACAAUGGACGAAAGUCUGAUGCAGCAACGCCGCGUGGAGGAUGACACAUUUCGGUGCGUAAACUCCUUUUAUAUAGGAAGAUAAUGACGGUACUAUAUGAAUAAGCGCCGGCUAACUCCGUGCCAGCAGCCGCGGUAAUACGGAGGGCGCAAGCGUUACUCGGAAUCACUGGGCGUAAAGAGCGUGUAGGCGGAUAGAUAAGUCAGGAGUGAAAUCCUAUGGCUCAACCAUAGAACUGCUCUUGAAACUGUCUAUCUAGAAUAUGGGAGAGGUAGAUGGAAUUUCUGGGGUAGGGGUAAAAUCCGUAGAGAUCAGAAGGAAUACCGAUUGCGAAGGCGAUCUACUGGAACAUUAUUGACGCUGAGACGCGAAAGCGUGGGGAGCAAACAGGAUUAGAUACCCUUGUAGUC